CUCCCUAUAAAACCAUCUCCGGCAAGACGUCGGCAAGCCAUCCAUCGAUCAACACCAACAGAAAUCACUUCCCACCCCGCCAACAAAAACAGACUUCCCAUUCGAUCCGCCACAAGAAAAUACUCCCAAGCUUUCGGUCGCUUUAGUUGUUCAACAGCCAACACCAUGAGCUCUCGGAUGGCCGGAGCCACGCUGCUGCGCCACCUGGGCCCCCGCCUCUUUGCCGCCGCCGAGCCGGCCUCCGGGCUCGCCGCCAGCGCGAGGGGCAUCAUGCCCGCCGCCGCGAGGAUCUUCCCCGCGCGGAUGGCCAGCACCGAGGCCGCCGCCCCGCAUGCCAAACAAGAAGAUGAUGCCGGAACACCCCAGGCGGCCGCGACUCCAGAGCAGCAGAGCAAGAAGGCCGUGGUGAGCUACUGGGGCAUCGAGCCGCGGAAGCUCGUCAAGGAGGACGGCACGGAGUGGCCGUGGUUCUGCUUCAGGCCGUGGGACACGUACCGGCCGGACACGUCCAUCGACGUCACCAAGCACCACGAGCCCAAGGCCCUGGCGGACAAGGUGGCCUACUUCGUGGUUCGGUCGCUGCGUGUGCCGCGGGACCUCUUCUUCCAGCGCCGGCACGCCAGCCACGCGCUGCUGCUGGAGACUGUGGCGGCGGUGCCGCCCAUGGUGGGCGGCGUGCUGCUCCACCUGCGCUCGCUCCGCCGAUUCGAGCACAGCGGCGGCUGGAUCCGGGCGCUCAUGGAGGAGGCCGAGAACGAGCGCAUGCACCUCAUGACCUUCAUGGAGGUGACGCAGCCGCGCUGGUGGGAGCGCGCGCUCGUGCUCGCCGCGCAGGGCGUCUUCUUCAACGCCUACUUCGUCGGCUACCUCAUCUCCCCCAAGUUCGCGCACCGCUUCGUCGGCUACCUCGAGGAGGAGGCCGUGGAGUCUUACACUGAGUACCUCAAGGACCUCGAAGCCGGCUUGAUCGAGAACACGCCCGCGCCGGCCAUCGCCAUCGACUACUGGCGCCUCCCCGCCGACGCCAGGCUCAAAGACGUCGUCACCGCCGUGCGCGCCGACGAGGCGCAUCACCGCGACGCCAACCACUACGCAUCGGACAUCCAUUACCAGGGAAUGACGCUGAAUCAGACGCCUGCGCCGCUCGGGUACCACUGAUCAGCUCAAUGGACCAUAGAUCGAUGCCUGCUCAGCCCAUCGUUGGGGUCUGAUUGGUCCUGUGAUCUGAACAAACACGGAAACGAGCGAUUUGGUUUCCGCGUUCAUCUCUGCCUACAUGUGAACAUGGGCCAGGCCUUUUUCUUUUUUCCUUCUAUGUACGCGUACACGAGGCUGGGUUUCUAAGAAAAAUAUGAUGGCGUAGAUCCUGGUAAUUAUUGCUAGUGAUUGAUAUGAUUAAAAUAGGCACAGGUUGGAGCGAGAUCGUGGUAAUUAUUGUGUAACUAUGAUGGCGUAGAUCAUGGUAAUUAUUGCUAAUUGAUAAUGGUAAAUGAUGUGAUACAACAUUGAGGCAAUCCGGUCCAUUGAGAGAUGACGGAUGUAUGGCUGAGAUGUAAUAUUUCUGCUACAACUCAAUUGUUUAAUAGUAGUGGAGAAAAAUAU